rnacentral:misc_RNA from 1 species
AAGUCGUAACAAGGUUUCCGUAGGUGAACCUGCGGAAGGAUCAUUAACACGUAUCCAACGUUAAACCCCCCGUGAACUUUUAUUGCGAACCACGCCUUUGUUAAAAAGUAGCAAUCCCUGGUAAAUCAUCGCCGAACAGUUUUGAUUCAGGGAUCUCUGCGAAGACAGAGCUAGUAACACUGUCAGACAUGCCAGGCCACUUACCUCGCCUGCAACCGCUCUCGAAUGGCGCAGUCACGAUCGCUGGAGGCCGACACGGCCAGCGACCCCACCGGGCAUAGACCCCCCUAUCACCUUUGCAUGAAAACGGGCCUGCGCUUAAUUGUGCGGCCACCAAACUCGAACAACUGUUAACAAUGGAUAUCUUGGUC